GUCCGGUUCAGGAAUCGCGGGAUGUCUCGCGAGAUAACAUCGCCGGGCCACAUAAAUAAUAAUUGCUCACAGCAUUACAAUACGUAUAUUCGACAGUGAUCGUUUUUCGAUUAUAUUUUUCGUCGUCCGAUUGGCUGCGACAACUGCGAAAAUCCGGAGUUGUAAAAUAAGAAAACCUUGGCUAAUAAACCUCGCAAAAGAUUAUAGAAAACCGUAGAUUUAUGUGAUUUCCCCUUCCCCCACUUUUCACCCACGAGAUUUAUAAGAAUACAAGCGUACCUAUACAUGUAACGUUACC